AGUGAACGCUGGCGGUAGGCCUAACACAUGCAAGUCGAACGGAAGGACAGUAAGAGCGUGCCCUUACGGGUGGCGAGUGGCGGACGGGUGAGGAAUACAUCGGAAUCUAAUUUUUCGUGGGGGAUAACGUAGGGAAACUUAUGCUAAUACCGCAUAUGACCUACGGGUGAAAGCAGGGGAUAUUCGGAGCUUUCGUGUCUGAAUGAGCCGAUGCCGGAUUAGCUAGUUGGCGGGGUAAAGGCACACCAAGGCGACGAUCCGUAGCUGGUCUGAGAGGAUGAUCAGCCACACUGGAACUGAGACACGGUCCAGACUCCUACGGGAGGCAGCAGUGGGGAAUAUUGGACAAUGGGCGCAAGCCUGAUCCAGCCAUGCCGCGUGAGUGAUGAAGGCCUUCGGAUUGUAAAGCCCUUUUGUUGGGAAAGAACAGCAGCAUAUUAAUCCCCCGCUGUUCUGACGGUACCCAAAGAAUAAGCCCCGGCUAACUUCGUG
rnacentral:rRNA from 1 species